UACGUAGGGUGCAAGCGUUAAUCGGAAUUACUGGGCGUAAAGCGUGCGUAGGCGGUUGUGCAAGUCAGGGGUGAAAUCCCCGGGCUUAACCUGGGAACUGCACUUGUGACUGCACAGCUGGAGUACGGCAGAGGGGGAUGGAAUUCCGCGUGUAGCAGUGAAAUGCGUAGAUAUGCGGAGGAACACCGAUGGCGAAGACAGUCCCCUGGGCCUGUACUGACGCUCAUGCACGAAAGCGUGGGGAGCAAACAGG
rnacentral:rRNA from 1 species